GCAACGCCGCGUGUGCGAUGAAGGCCUUCGGGUCGUAAAGCACUUUUUAGAGGGAUGAGGAAGGACAGUACCUCUAGAAUAAGCCUCGGCUAACUACGUGCCAGCAGCCGCGGUAAAACGUAGGAGGCAAGCGUUAUCCGGAUUUACUGGGCGUAAAGCGUGUGCAGGCGGUUCGGUAAGUUGGAUGUGAAAGCUCCUGGCUUAACUGGGAGAGGUCGUUCAAUACUACCGAGCUAGAGAGUGGUAGAGGGAGGUGGAAUUCCGGGUGUAGUGGUGAAAUGCGUAGAUAUCCGGAGGAACACCAGUGGCGAAAGCGGCCUCCUGGACCAUCUCUGACGCUCAUACACGAAAGCUAGGGGAGCAAACGGGAUUAGAGACCCCGGUAGUCCUAGCCGUAAACUAUGUGAACUUGGCGUCAGUGGCUUCAAAACCAUUGGUGCCGUAGCUAACGCGAUAAGUUCACCGCCUGGGGACUACGGCCGCAAGGUUAAAACUCAAAGGAAUUGACGGGUCCCCGCACAAGCAGCGGAGCGUGUGGUUUAAUUCGAUGUUACACGAAGAACCUUACCAAGGCUUGACAUGCAAGUGGUAGGAAACUGAAAGGCGACCGA
rnacentral:rRNA from 1 species